AGAUACUCUAAUUAAGAGUUCCAAGUAAGAUAAGACUACUCUGGAUAUUUAGAGAAGGCAGGUAGGGGAGGAAUGAAGCCAGUUCUCCUUGGACUGAUGAUGGUGCUAUUUUUCAGCACAGUCUUUGACUCUAAGGUGUUUUCCUUUAUCUUUGCUUCCUACUUAUCCUCUGCUGUUCCUUGCUUAGAGUUAGAAACAGUCUGGUAGUUGCAGUGGUUAUAAAAAUAUAUCUUGAUCUUUGUCUUACAUCUCCUGAGCAGGCCCUGUCAGGGAUAGGUAAAUGUGUCCUGUGGAUUGAUACCAUGAUUUCCUCUCCUGACAGGUCCCAGAAUGGUGCUUAGAUGACUGGCAUCCUUCUGAGAAGGCAAUGUAUCCUGAUUACUUUGCCAAGAGAGAACAGUGGAAGAAACUGCGGAGGGAAAGCUGGGAACGAGAGGUUAAGCAGCUGCAGGAGGAAACGCCACCUGGUGGUCCUUUAACUGAAGCUUUGCCCCCUGCCCGAAAGGAAGGUGAUUUGCCCCCACUGUGGUGGUAUAUUGUGACCAGACCCCGGGAGCGGCCCAUGUAGAAAGAGAGAGACCUCAUCUUUCAUGCUUGCAAGUGAAAUAUGUUACAGAACAUGCACUUGCCCUAAUAAAAAAUCAGUGAAAUGGU
rnacentral:lncRNA from 1 species